rnacentral:tRNA from 1 species
CCAUCUACCUAGGGGCA